UUCUCCAGAUUCAGAUGUGAGCUAUUAACUGACUUCAUCCCUCCAACAGGUUAUUACAUGUCUAUUUUUACUAUAUCUGCUCUAAAUUUGACCCAACCUAUAUUUUGAAAGACAUUUAUUUAUUUUAAUCUCUCACAGAUCAGUUUAUAUGACAACUUUUUCGCAAGGGUACAUCCAUGUUAGUCAGUAGGAAGUUUAGAACUCAUGUUUAGCAAAACAGGAGAUGUUACAAGUCAACAACAUAAAUUCUACAUGUGAGCACUCGUCAUGUCCUUAUAUUGUUUGAAGCAAGAAAGACUUAGGUGUGUUUCAUGUAAGGUCCUCAUAUUUUCUGAACCAGAAAAUGUGUGUUACAAUGUUAAUGUCAAAGCUUUAAAAUGAGUGUCUCAAUUCAGGUCCUCAUAUUUUCUGAACCAGAUUUUUGUGUGUGUUACAUUCUUAAUGAAUUGUCUAAGAGCUGAAACUCUGUAAUAAUUUUUACCCUUUAUCUGGCAUUGUAUGCUCAGAUUUUUAUCAACAAAAAGUGGUGAGAAUGUUAUAAUUAAUUAGUUAUGACAUUAUAUUUUUGUGUUUUGUUGCAGAAACCAACUGUUGAGGUUCUAUCUCAACAUUCUCUAGAUUCAGAUGACAGCCAUAAACCGACUUCAUCCCUCCAACAGAUUGACAGCAGGACAAAUCGCUGGAAGUGGGUAUGUCUCAAGCUUCUUCCACUUGGUCCACUCCAAAGCGGGCUGCAAAGGGGAAGAAGUGGAAGCAGUUGAAUGACACAUGUUGCAUUUUAUAACUGGCAACAAAGUACCAGGUAAAAAAGAUUGUGAAGCCUCCCUCCGCAAAUAACUAGUAGCUCUACAGGACAGAGAUUGGCUUGCCAUCAAGUACUACAUCCAUAACAGAAUCAUAUUAAAAAAAGGAGAAUUUUUUUUUUCCACAUCUGCUGUGGUAGUUUGAGUAUGUUACCAGCAAUUAAAAAAGCAAGAUAAAGAGCAAGCGUUUUGUAUUUAUUCCAGAUAAUUGUUAGCGACAAAAUCCACAAAAACAAUUCAGUUACACUUA